rnacentral:rRNA from 1 species
GACGAACGCUGGCGGCGUGCCUAAUACAUGCAAGUAGAACGCUGAAGGAGGAGCUUGCUUCUCUGGAUGAGUUGCGAACGGGUGAGUAACGCGUAGGUAACCUGCCUGGUAGCGGGGGAUAACUAUUGGAAACGAUAGCUAAUACCGCAUAAUAGUAGAUGUCGCAUGACAUUUGCUUAAAAGGUGCAAUUGCAUCACUACCAGGUGGACCUGCGUUGUAUUAGCUAGUUGGUGAGGUAACGGCUCACCAAGGCAACGAUACAUAGCCGACCUGAGAGGGUGAUCGGCCACACUGGGACUGAGACACGGCCCAGACUCCUACGGGAGGCAGCAGUAGGGAAUCUUCGGCAAUGGACGGAAGUCUGACCGAGCAACGCCGCGGGAGUGAAGAAGGGUUUCGGAUCGUAAAGCUCUGUUGUAAGAGAAGAACGAGUGUGAGAGUGGAAAGUUCACACUGUGACGGUAUCUUACCAGAAAAGGACGGCUAACUACGUG